GCUUCUGUGUUAACAUAUAAAACACUUUCAAUUUUUUGUUUAGAUAAGGCACAUUCAUGCCAAGAAAGAAAGUUCAUUUUUUUCAUUGACAAAAGUGUUUGUAGUAAAAUUAUGAUUGGCAAAUAAUGGUGAUUGUAAGAAAUUACACAUAACUUUUGUUUGUAUCAUAGGGCACAUUUAUAACAUAUAGGGCUAUUUCAUUGCAAAAAAUGCUCCUGACCUUCUAAUAAGGUCAUGUGGUAGCAAACAGUCUUUUGCAAAUCAUCUUUAUCAUACUAGUCCCAGGAUUUUUAUUUUAUACAUUACAAUCAUGAC
rnacentral:lncRNA from 1 species